rnacentral:rRNA from 1 species
UACGUAGGGGGCAAGCGUUGUCCGGAAUCAUUGGGCGUAAAGCGCGUGUAGGCGGCUUGGUAAGUCUGCUCUGAAAGCCCGGGGCUCAACCCCGGGAGGCGGGUGGAUACUGUCAAGCUCGAGUCCGGAAGAGGAGUGUGGAAUUCCUGGUGUAGCGGUGAAAUGCGCAGAUAUCGGGAGGAACACCAAUGGCGAAGGCAGGUACCUGGACUAUUACUGACACUCAGCUGCGAAAGCUAGGGGAGCAAACAGG